AUGUGGCUGCAUCCAAAGGACAUACUGUUACUAGAUGCGUGUCCUAACUUUGCUCAAAUGAUUCAUGCGAAUGGAAACUUGCCAUUGCACUGUGCUUGUAUCCAUGGACAUAGGGAUAUAACCUGGAUGCUCCUAAGGUGUGAUUCAAGCCUCGCUCUGCACUAUAACAACAAUGGUUUUACACCACUGCACAUGGCAUCAAUGAAUGGCAGAGUUUCAGUCCUUGAUGAAUUUGGUAAGAUGGCUCCGGUAUCUUUUCACUAUGCCACAUAUGAGGGAGAGACAGUUUUUCAUCUGGCUGUGAGAUAUGGUCAAUAUCAAGCUCUAGUGUAUUUAGUGCAUGUCUCUAAUGGUACAAAUCUCAUUCACCGUCAAGAUCAAAAUGGCAACACCAUUUUACAUCUUGUAGUUUUUAGUGGGCGUCAACAGAUAGUGGAGUACUUGAUCAACAAAACAAAAGUGGAGAUUAAUUCUCAGAACUUUCAAGGACUCACAGCACUUGACAUCCUUGACCAGGCCAAGAACAGUAAAGAAUGUCACCGUCUUAAAGCCAAGUUUAUUAAAGCUGGCGGUAAAAGCAGUAUUGAAUUGUUAUCUGAUUCACCAGAAGUAGAAAGAACCAAUGGUCAGCUGCCUAUCAUAAGUGAGAAUUCUUCAGGGCAGGGUUGCAUAGAUGAUGAUUUGGAUAUGUCCGUUUUAAAUGAAAUGGUUUCUUGUGAAUGCAAGUGGUCACCAAGAUUCAGCAAGGGAAGCAACUCCAGAAUGCCAUCACCAUUCCGUCAAGUUGGGGAGACAUUUAACAAUGAAACAUAUAAAAAAGUCCUUAUUCCCAACCAAUAUGCGACAACAAAAGCAUUUUAACAGAAGGCACUGGGAAAAUGUAGGUGACCAUCACACUACUCACCGAAAUAAGCAGCAUGAAAUACAUAUGGAAGCCUUACAAAAUGCUAGGAACACUGUAACACUAGUUGCCAUUUUGAUUGCUACAGUUACAUUUGCUGCUGGAAUUAGCCCUCCUGGUGGUUUUUAUCAGGAUGGAGAAAUGAAAGGGAAGUCAAUACUUGGUAGAACAACAGCUUUCAAGGUCUUUGCAAUAAGCAACAAUGUUGCAUUGUUUACCUCUCUAUCCAUAGUUGUUGUUCUUGUCAGCAUCAUCCCCUAUCAGAGGAAGCCACAGAUGAGACUAUUGGUUGCUGCUCACAAGGUCAUGUGGGUAGCUGUGGCAUUCAUGGCAACAGGAUAUGUUGCAGCCACAUGGGUGAUCAGUACUCACAGUUAAGGGACAGAACGGGUGUUUGUCACAGUAAUAGCAGUAAGAAGUGGCACCCUGGGUGUGGUUUUUAUUGCUCUAGGGGUGCUGCUGGUUGAGCACUGGCUGCGGAAAUUGAAGUGGAGAAAACAAAGAAAGGAUAGAGGGGAAGCUGUUGACAUAGAAAGUCAAAUUUCAGAUGUUGAGAGCACAUAGCAACAAGGAUAUCACUCGUACUGAACGUUUUCUCCCAAGGUAUUAAUAAGAAGAUCUAGUUACUGAUUAGCAAGUGAAUUUUACUUGGUUGUUACUUUUAUAAAAGAAUUUGAUAGAUUUUAGUUUUUUUCUUUCUAUACACUGGCAGGUUCCAGAGAGGCUGGGCUUCUUAGUUUAAUGUAGCGGUAACAAUGUAGGAUUUUCUUACAAAUUGUUUUUGUUCAGUAUUUUUUUUUUUCCUCUUGUGCUUCUUUGGAAGUGUGAGGUUCCCAGUGAUGUUGUUUCUGUACAUGUAUAAAGUGAAAAAAAUAUUGUUUGAGACCCCUAUUUGUUUAAUAUGCAGACAUAAUGAUUUUAACCAUUAAACAAACAAAAUAAAAGUUAUAUACCCAGCAGAAUAUUUAUACCACAGUUUUUGUAAUAUAUCAACCAAAUCAAGAGUCAAAGUAAUAAAAAUAGUGACACAGGUCAUGAAUUCAAAACUGCA